UGCAGUCGAGCGGUAGCACAGAGAGCUUGCUCUCGGGUGACGAGCGGCGGACGGGUGAGUAAUGUCUGGGAAACUGCCUGAUGGAGGGGGAUAACUACUGGAAACGGUAGCUAAUACCGCAUAACGUCGCAAGACCAAAGUGGGGGACCUUCGGGCCUCAUGCCAUCAGAUGUGCCCAGAUGGGAUUAGCUAGUAGGUGGGGUAACGGCUCACCUAGGCGACGAUCCCUAGCUGGUCUGAGAGGAUGACCAGCCACACUGGAACUGAGACACGGUCCAGACUCCUACGGGAGGCAGCAGUGGGGAAUAUUGCACAAUGGGCGCAAGCCUGAUGCAGCCAUGCCGCGUGUGUGAAGAAGGCCUUCGGGUUGUAAAGCACUUUCAGCGGGGAGGAAGGCGAUAAGGUUAAUAACCUUGUCGAUUGACGUUACCCGCAGAAGAAGCACCGGCUAACUCCGUGCCAGCAGCCGCGGUAAUACGGAGGGUGCAAGCGUUAAUCGGAAUUACUGGGCGUAAAGCGCACGCAGGCGGUCUGUCAAGUCGGAUGUGAAAUCCCCGGGCUCAACCUGGGAACUGCAUUCGAAACUGGCAGGCUAGAGUCUUGUAGAGGGGGGUAGAAUUCCAGGUGUAGCGGUGAAAUGCGUAGAGAUCUGGAGGAAUACCGGUGGCGAAGGCGGCCCCCUGGACAAAGACUGACGCUCAGGUGCGAAAGCGUGGGGAGCAAACAGGAUUAGAUACCCUGGUAGUCCACGCCGUAAACGAUGUCGAUUUGGAGGUUGUGCCCUUGAGGCGUGGCUUCCGGAGCUAACGCGUUAAAUCGACCGCCUGGGGAGUACGGCCGCAAGGUUAAAACUCAAAUGAAUUGACGGGGGCCCGCACAAGCGGUGGAGCAUGUGGUUUAAUUCGAUGCAACGCGAAGAACCUUACCUGGUCUUGACAUCCACAGAACUUAGCAGAGAUGCUUUGGUGCCUUCGGGAACUGUGAGACAGGUGCUGCAUGGCUGUCGUCAGCUCGUGUUGUGAAAUGUUGGGUUAAGUCCCGCAACGAGCGCAACCCUUAUCCUUUGUUGCCAGCGGUCAGGCCGGGAACUCAAAGGAGACUGCCAGUGAUAAACUGGAGGAAGGUGGGGAUGACGUCAAGUCAUCAUGGCCCUUACGACCAGGGCUACACACGUGCUACAAUGGCAUAUACAAAGAGAAGCGACCUCGCGAGAGCAAGCGGACCUCAUAAAGUAUGUCGUAGUCCGGAUUGGAGUCUGCAACUCGACUCCAUGAAGUCGGAAUCGCUAGUAAUCGUAGAUCAGAAUGCUACGGUGAAUACGUUCCCGGGCCUUGUACACACCGCCCGUCACACCAUGGGAGUGGGUUGCAAAAGAAGUAGGUAGCUUAACCUUCGGGAGGGC
rnacentral:rRNA from 1 species